AUAUUGUAUGGAAGGAGAGAAUGAGAAAUUGGCACUCCCAAUGACAAGCAUGGAAGAAGCCCUCAGGGCUAACAACACACAUAUGAUGAAGGUGUAAGUAAAUAAAGUAAGAAACAAAUGUAGCACCGACCUGUUAUGAGUUUGU
rnacentral:ncRNA from 1 species